GGUUAAGCGACUAAGCGUACACGGUGGAUGCCCUGGCAGUCAGAGGCGAUGAAGGGCGUGCUAAUCUGCGAUAAGCGCCGGUAAGGUGAUAUGAACCGUUAUAACCGGCGAUACCCGAAUGGGGAAACCCAGUGUGAUUCGUCACACUAUCAUUAACUGAAUCCAUAGGUUAAUGAGGCGAACCGGGGGAACUGAAACAUCUAAGUACCCCGAGGAAAAGAAAUCAACCGAGAUUCCCCCAGUAGCGGCGAGCGAACGGGGAGGAGCCCAGAGCCUGAAUCAGCAUGUGUGUUAGUGGAAGCGUCUGGAAAGGCGCGCGAUACAGGGUGACAGCCCCGUACACAAAAGCGCAUGUGCUGUGAGCUCGAUGAGUAGGGCGGGACACGUGGUAUCCUGUCUGAAUAUGGGGGGACCAUCCUCCAAGGCUAAAUACUCCUGACUGACCGAUAGUGAACCAGUACCGUGAGGGAAAGGCGAAAAGAACCCCGGCGAGGGGAGUGAAAAAGAACCUGAAACCGUGUACGUACAAGCAGUGGGAGCCCCACCACUAAGCCAGUGGUGAACUCCACAUCCGCAUCCUUUGCUGAGGAUACGGUUAACGGAGCGAAAGCGACGUUCAACCGCAAAACAAGCAGAGGGGGCUUAGUGGUGGGGUGACUGCGUACCUUUUGUAUAAUGGGUCAGCGACUUAUAUUCUGUAGCAAGGUUAACCGAAUAGGGGAGCCGGAGGGAAACCGAGUCUUAAUUGGGCGUUAAGUUGCAGGGUAUAGACCCGAAACCCGGUGAUCUAGCCAUGGGCAGGUUGAAGGUUGGGUAACACUAACUGGAGGACCGAACCGACUAAUGUUGAAAAAUUAGCGGAUGACCUGUGGCUGGGGGUGAAAGGCCAAUCAAACCGGGAGAUAGCUGGUUCUCCCCGAAAGCUAUUUAGGUAGCGCCUCGUGAAUUCAUCUCCGGGGGUAGAGCACUGUUUCGGCUAGGGGGCCAUCCCGGCUUACCAACCCGAUGCAAACUGCGAAUACCGGAGAAUGUUAUCACGGGAGACACACGGCGGGUGCUAACGUCCGUCGUGAAGAGGGAAACAACCCAGACCGCCAGCUAAGGUCCCAAAGUCAUGGUUAAGUGGGAAACGAUGUGGGAAGGCCCAGACAGCCAGGAUGUUGGCUUAGAAGCAGCCAUCAUUUAAAGAAAGCGUAAUAGCUCACUGGUCGAGUCGGCCUGCGCGGAAGAUGUAACGGGGCUAAACCAUGCACCGAAGCUGCGGCAGCGAACGUAUCACUUAAAGCGAUUCAGCGGGUUACGAUUGACGGAGCGAAGCGACGUCAAAGCGUAUACAAAGUCGAGUCGGUUUAAGGAUACGUUCGUUGGGUAGGGGAGCGUUCUGUAAGCCCGUGAAGGUGGCCUGUGAGGGUUGCUGGAGGUAUCAGAAGUGCGAAUGCUGACAUAAGUAACGAUAAAGCGGGUGAAAAGCCCGCUCGCCGGAAGACCAAGGGUUCCUGUCCAACGUUAAUCGGGGCAGGGUGAGUCGACCCCUAAGGCGAGGCCGAAAGGCGUAGUCGAUGGGAAACGGGUUAAUAUUCCCGUACUUGGUGUUACUGCGAAGGGGGGACGGAGAAGGCUAUGUUGGCCGGGCGACGGUUGUCCCGGUUUAAGCGUGUAGGUGUGUGUUCCAGGUAAAUCCGGUUCACUUUAACACUGAGGCGUGACGACGAGGCACUACGGUGCUGAAGCAACAAAUGCCCUGCUUCCAGGAAAAGCCUCUAAGCAUCAGGUAACACGAAAUCGUACCCCAAACCGACACAGGUGGUCAGGUAGAGAAUACCAAGGCGCUUGAGAGAACUCGGGUGAAGGAACUAGGCAAAAUGGUGCCGUAACUUCGGGAGAAGGCACGCUGACACGUAGGUGAAGUGAUUUACUCACGGAGCUGAAGUCAGUCGAAGAUACCAGCUGGCUGCAACUGUUUAUUAAAAACACAGCACUGUGCAAACACGAAAGUGGACGUAUACGGUGUGACGCCUGCCCGGUGCCGGAAGGUUAAUUGAUGGGGUCAGCGCAAGCGAAGCUCCUGAUCGAAGCCCCGGUAAACGGCGGCCGUAACUAUAACGGUCCUAAGGUAGCGAAAUUCCUUGUCGGGUAAGUUCCGACCUGCACGAAUGGCGUAAUGAUGGCCAGGCUGUCUCCACCCGAGACUCAGUGAAAUUGAACUCGCUGUGAAGAUGCAGUGUACCCGCGGCAAGACGGAAAGACCCCGUGAACCUUUACUAUAGCUUGACACUGAACAUUGAGCCUUGAUGUGUAGGAUAGGUGGGAGGCUUUGAAGUGUGGACGCCAGUCUGCAUGGAGCCGACCUUGAAAUACCACCCUUUAAUGUUUGAUGUUCUAACGUGGACCCGUAAUCCGGGUUGCGGACAGUGUCUGGUGGGUAGUUUGACUGGGGCGGUCUCCUCCUAAAGAGUAACGGAGGAGCACGAAGGUUGGCUAAUCCUGGUCGGACAUCAGGAGGUUAGUGCAAUGGCAUAAGCCAGCUUGACUGCGAGCGUGACGGCGCGAGCAGGUGCGAAAGCAGGUCAUAGUGAUCCGGUGGUUCUGAAUGGAAGGGCCAUCGCUCAACGGAUAAAAGGUACUCCGGGGAUAACAGGCUGAUACCGCCCAAGAGUUCAUAUCGACGGCGGUGUUUGGCACCUCGAUGUCGGCUCAUCACAUCCUGGGGCUGAAGUAGGUCCCAAGGGUAUGGCUGUUCGCCAUUUAAAGUGGUACGCGAGCUGGGUUUAGAACGUCGUGAGACAGUUCGGUCCCUAUCUGCCGUGGGCGCUGGAGAACUGAGGGGGGCUGCUCCUAGUACGAGAGGACCGGAGUGGACGCAUCACUGGUGUUCGGGUUGUCAUGCCAAUGGCACUGCCCGGUAGCUAAAUGCGGAAGAGAUAAGUGCUGAAAGCAUCUAAGCACGAAACUUGCCCCGAGAUGAGUUCUCCCUGAGACUUAGAGUCUCCUGAAGGAACGUUGAAGACGACGACGUUGAUAGGCCGGGUGUGUAAGCGCAGCGAUGCGUUGAGCUAACCGGUACUAAUGAACCGUGAGGCUUAACCUU
rnacentral:rRNA from 1 species